rnacentral:rRNA from 1 species
CACGUAGGGGCCGAGCGUUGUCCGGAAUCAUUGGGCGUAAAGCGCGCGUAGGCGGCCCGGAAAGUCGGAUGUGAAAUCCCGGGGCUCAACCCCGGGCCUGCAUCCGAUACUCCCGGGCUGGAGGCAGGUAGGGGAGAUCGGAAUUCCUGGUGUAGCGGUGAAAUGCGCAGAUAUCAGGAGGAACACCGGUGGCGAAGGCGGAUCUCUGGGCCUUGCCUGACGCUGAGGCGCGAAAGCUAGGGGAGCGAACAGG